rnacentral:rRNA from 1 species
GAUGAACGCUGGCGGCGUGCCUAAUACAUGCAAGUCGAGCGAACAGACGAGGAGCUUGCUCCUCUGACGUUAGCGGCGGACGGGUGAGUAACACGUGGAUAACCUACCUAUAAGACUGGGAUAACUUCGGGAAACCGGAGCUAAUACCGGAUAAUAUAUUGAACCGCAUGGUUCAAUAGUGAAAGCCGGUUUUGCUGUCACUUAUAGAUGGAUCCGCGCCGCAUUAGCUAGUUGGUAAGGUAACAGCUUACCAAGGCAACGAUGCGUAGCCGACCUGAGAGAGUGAUCGGCCACACUGGAGCUGAGACACGGUCAAGACUCCUACGAGAGGCAGCAUUAGGGAAUCUUCCGCAAUGGGCGAAAGCCUGACGGAGCAACGCCGCGUGAGUGAUGAAGGUCUUCGGAUCGUAAAACUCUGUUAUAAGGGAAGAAAAAAUGUGUAAGUAACUAUGCACGUCUUGACGGUACCUAAUCAGAAAGCCACGGCUAACUACGUG